CCUUAACCCUCAGGCCACCAGGGAGCUCCCUCUUUAGUUCAUUUUGAGCCAGCCUCUCAUCUGUUUCCUAUGCUCCUGCCACUGUGGCCUUAUUUCAGUCUCUCAUACACACCAAAGUCCCUCCUACCCCAGGACCUUUGCACUGUGGUUUCUUCUUACAGGACUGCUCCCCUGCACUUCCUUCCUUAUAUUCUGGCUCCAUUACUAGACUUUAUAUCUUCAGGGAUCCUAGUCGGAUUCCUUUCCACUGUGCCACAAAGGGAACUCCCAGGGGGGCUCAUUCUUAGUCUGGGGGCUGGCUGGCUGUGGGCUGCGGAGGUGCCGUACCCAGGCUGCACCCCUUUUCUCCUCCGUGCGCUAGCCCAGGGGUUCAUAUCUUCACAGGCCAAGUGCUAAGGGCAGGACAAGAAGCACACAGCAGAGCACUUGGUGAAACCUGUCUGUGCACGUUUGCUAGCAUCUCAUUGGUCAAAGUAAGUCACAUGACUGAACUCAGCCCUGCAUUGCCGGAAGUAUAGCUUAUCUCUUGAUGGAAGGAACGGCGGAGGCACCUUGCAAAAAACGUGCAGACCGGGAGGGAUGGAUAAAUUGGCACCAUUAAGGCCAGCUCUUUACGAGAAUGUAAGCUUAAGCUCUGCAAGGCCAAGGACUGUCCCUUGUUGAUGUUUUAUCCCUCGUCGGCUCCAACCUGUGGCCAAGUUCCUGGCAGAAGUUCCUGGACCAUGGAUAGAACCUGUGCCGUGGCCACCACCCAAGCCUCAGCAGGGACCAUGCUGGAUCCUGAACUUGCUGCACCGCCAGGGAGCUCUGCCCUGCAGCUUUGCUUGGUUUAAGCCCAUCAGGGCCUCUGAUCCACUAUGAGAUCCAAGCAUGGUAGAGACAGGGAGGCAUCUUGAAACUCUUCAAUCCAGCUUCACCCUCUUGCAGGUGAGGAAACUGAGACAUCUGGGUGUACGUUACGCGUCAUUCCAUUAAACAGAGGCUGAGCAGCGGGAUCGGGCCUGUUGUCUGGUUCCCAGGACCGUGUGCCGUGUUGUGCAGAACCUGCAUCCUCUCUGUUCUCUUUGGGCCUCAGCAGUGGUUCUGAGUCCGGAUGCUUCGCCCGAUGACAGCCAAUGAGCAUGGGAUUGCGAUGAUUAAGCUGCCUUAUCCAUUAGCUGGAAAGCAAAAGAAGAAAGGGCAACAGACAGGUGCCUUUGUUUAUUCUACACCUGUCUACUGAGUGCUACCCGAGUCUGUACUUCGCUAGGCCCGAGGACACAGCAGAGGACGAGGAUGUGAAACUCACCAGUGACUGGGAAGCUGAGUCCCGAGAGAAAGUUUGAAGCAGAAGCUCUGAAGCCAGCAGAGGAAACUGGGAAGGAACAUGCAGAAAUGUCAGAGGGGAAUCACAGGGGCAUGAUGUCCUGGAAACUACAGGAGGAAAGUGUUCAAGAAAGUUCUCUGGGAGUAAGUUGGCUUGAGGAGCAGGGGUGGUGUGUCCUGCUCCAUAUAGUCCGUGGAGACAUAGCCCUUUUACGCUGUGGCUCUGUAAUACCUCUGCACUUUGAACUCGAAGCUGAAUCGCCAGCAUCAGGCCUGCAGAUGGUGGAAGAGGAAGGAUCACCGGUGACAGCUUCUUCAUGGACCAGUGUCCUUCACCAACAUUCAACUGGCUGGAGCUUAAUCCCAUUGCGACGCCCAACAGCAAGGGAGGCUGUGACUUGUAGUCUGAAUCAUCCCUAGAAGGUGGUCCACAGGCUGGAGAAGCCCAAGGGAAGAAGGAUGCUGAGUUACGAUGGGUGGUCCUGAUGGUGCAAAGGCAGGGAAUGGACCGAGUAUCCAGGGUGAAUUUCCUGGCCGGAGAGGAGACGAUAACAAGGCUCCGAAGAGAAAAAGAGAAAGGAGAACAAAGGAAAACACUGGUUGACACCACUCCAGAAAAGCUAUCUGACUGAUAUUUGCCAUGAUUGUGUCACAUGGUGAGUUCAGGAGUUCCCAUCGUGGCGCAGUGGUCAACGAAUCCGACUAGGAACCAUGAGGUUGUGGGUUUGAUCCCUGUCCUUGCUCAGUGGGUUAAGGAUCCGGCAUUGCCGUGAGCUGUGGUGUAGGUCGAAGACACAGUUUGGAUCCCGACUUGCUGUGGCUGUGGUGUAGGCUUGCAGCAACAGGUCCAAAUUGACCCCUAGCCUGGGAAUCUCCAUAUGCCACGGGUGCAGCCCUAAAAGGACAAAAGUAAAAAAAAAUUAAAAAAAAAAUGGUGAGUUCAGAGUCACAUAGAAAAGGAAGACCUUCCAUCCUCACUUUGGAUUUUUAAAAAUCUUCUACUGUAAUUAUUAAGAAGAACUUCUCAUAAGUAUCGUUUUGUGUCUACAAGAAAAUACUGUUUGUGGAAACUGGUUUCCAGAAUUAUUAAUCCGUUUUAUCCCAAAAGAGAUACGUGUUUUGGGAACGGCUCCUUACUCUGAAGUUCAUUUUCUCCAUUUUCCAAAUUAGGUGCUGUGCUAAAUGGUUUCUAAGAUCUCUUCAACGUCUUGACAGUCUCUGGAGGUGAUGACUUUUGACUAAAUUGAAUUUUCUUCCUUUUCCCUGUGGGCCCCAUCAGUGCGCAAAGAAAGAGACUUUAGUAUCUCCUUGCUAGUGAAACAAGACAUUUGAAGACAAAACAUCGCACCAAACUGGAGGCUCCUGAAUAACUGUGAUUGUCACGCACACAGUGGCUUCAGUUGUUUUGGAAAAACUUGAUCUGUCAAUGAGUCCAGAACGUGCUAGUUCAGUGGGGGAAAGAGGAUGGGAAAUACCGCCGCUAGGAGGGAACCGAGUCAUAUGACGCUGGAGGAUGUCUGAUGGGGCGCCGAAGAGCGCGAUUUCAAUGAACGCGGAACGCUUUUGUUUUUAUUUACAGGCAUCUGCCUGGAAGGGCUCUCCAGGCUAGACGCUAUCAAGUACAUCCUCUGGUUGGAGCCUCCAGGAGCUGCCUUUCCUCCUCCCUCCUCUCCGCACCUCUCCGCAGUUUAACCUCCCCAGUCAAAGCGCGGAUCGAUGUCACGGUGACAGAUCUUUUUCCUACCGUGAUAGUGUCUGUAAAUCAAAGCCCAUCAGGGUAGACCAGAAGCUCUGACGACACCACAUCAUCCUUUGCAAUUCCACCCGUGUCAAAGAACAAUAAGCAUGACUUUGGAGGAAAAUGUUUUUUGGAAAUAAAUUGAGGCAGUAUUUCAAAAAGGUGAAUUCUGUAGCACAAAAUAUGGCUGGAAAGGUAGUUCCCGGUCUGUGGCUGGAAGAAAUGUCCUUUCCUUUUUUUCUUCCGGGGUUAUUGAGCUUGGCAGCGAAGGAAAAGGCAAAAGGAAGGUGCUCUGGGAAGGACAAGGAAGGAAAAGCACGUUCCUUCCCUGCUUACCAGCUAGUAGGGUGUGGACCACAGUCGUUCUCAUAGAAGACAAGAAGUGGAGGGUGGAGACUGAAGAUGCAGUUGGC